UUGUAAGUACUAUUAUGUAGCCUACAGUAAUACACUUUACCAUAGUAUGGUUCAAAAACACUAUAGUAUUUGCUAUAAAUUACUAUAGUAUCUUUUCAUGUGGGCGUGGACAUGAAAAACAACCCAUAGCAACAGAUUUUAAAGUAGCCCAACUCCGAGGGAAAACUGUGGCCUUGGCAGCACUGAGCGGAGGUGAUGCAUUUCCUGUUUGAGAGUGGAGCUCCACUCUCCCACGGUCUGCAGUCAGACCGUGAGCCAGACCCAUCUCGGAGAAACUACCAAGGACUCAAGUCCGAACUUUGCGUACUUAGUAUUGAGAAACGGCUCUGUUUGGAUCAGAGGACCUAAAUGCAUUGGUUUCUUCUGACGAAUCAAUGUUGUCAAAAUGAUGAUGGUGUAAUCACGUACACUACGGCGUCUUUGAAUAUCAACCACUUUACAACACCUUUUAAAGCAUUCAGAUAGGAUCUUAUCUUAUCUGGUUUUUCUCUCAAUAUUUGUGAGACUGAAGUCAAUCAGGAAUGAGGGCCAUCAUCAUCAUCUUCAUCACUCUCUGUCUGAUCUCAGGUCAGGUUCUCUGUUUUAAAGUGAUUGGCUGCUCUGGAGGGAGUGUAAUGUUCAAGUGCAUGUAUAAGUCUGAUGAGCAACAUAACUCAACACCCCUGAACCAGAGAGAGUCUAAUGAUCAGCUUAAAGGAAAGUAUUUCUGCAGAAACAGAGACUGUAAACCUGGCAUCAGUACUGAGCUUCAGCGCCGCUGGGUUAAUAAUGAGAGAUUCACUCUGUAUGAUGAUGAAAACAGCAGAUUCUUCACAGUGUUUAUCAGGAACCUCAGCAGAGAGGAUGCUGGGAAAUACACAUGUGGAAACAAUCAGAAAUGGAGUCGUGAUGUUGAUUUAAGGGUGAACAAAAGUACGUAAGAUUCUCACUACAGUAAUUAUUUUUACUAUAGCACUAUUUAAAGGUGCACUACAGAAGACUUUUAAUAAAAAUGAACAAAACUUGGUGAUUGUGCA
ensembl:lncRNA